rnacentral:lncRNA from 1 species
UUAACCAUCAAACCCUAGCUCUCUCUCUCGUCCGCUGCUCCUUCCUCAAUUCCCCCGUGUCUUCCCCAAUUUCCUCGCGCCUCCCAGAUCUAGCCAUAGCUCGAGUUCGAUUGAGUCCCUCAUAAUGUAGGGACUUUUGAUUUCUGGAGCAGGGUAAUUCCCCCGUCCGCUGUUCUUAACUUUUGAUUUAUGGGGUAGGGUAAUUACCCUAAAUGCUCUG